rnacentral:rRNA from 1 species
AGAGUUUGAUCCUGGCUCAGAGUGAACGCUGGCGGCAAGCCUAACACAUGCAAGUCGAACGGCAGCACAGCAGUAGCAAUACUGUGGGUGGCGAGUGGCGGACGGGUGAGGAAUGCGUCGGAAUCUGCCUAUUUGUGGGGGAUAACGUAGGGAAACUUACGCUAAUACCGCAUACGACCUACGGGUGAAAGUGGGGGACCUUCGGGCCUCACGCAGAUAGAUGAGCCGACGCCGGAUUAGCUAGUUGGCGGGGUAAAGGCCCACCAAGGCGACGAUCCGUAGCUGGUCUGAGAGGAUGAUCAGCCACACUGGGACUGAGACACGGCCCAGACUCCUACGGGAGGCAGCAGUGGGGAAUAUUGGACAAUGGGCGCAAGCCUGAUCCAGCCAUGCCGCGUGUGUGAAGAAGGCCUUCGGGUUGUAAAGCACUUUUGUCCGGAAAGAAAUCCUUUCGAUUAAUACUCGGGAGGGAUGACGGUACCGG